rnacentral:rRNA from 1 species
AUUGAACGCUGGCGGCAGGCCUAACACAUGCAAGUCGAACGAGCGGCGGACGGGUGAGUAAUGUAUGGGGAACUGCCCGAUAGAGGGGGAUAACUACUGGAAACGGUGGCUAAUACCGCAUACUAUCUGAUGAACCCAUAUGGGAUGAGCUAGUUGGUGGGGUAAAGGCUCACCAAGGCGACGAUCUCUAGCUGGUCUGAUAGGAUGAUCAGCCACACUGGGACUGAGACACGGCCCAGACUCCUACGGGAGGCAGCAGUGGGGAAUAUUGCACAAUGGGCGCAAGCCUGAUGCAGCCAUGCCGCGUGUAUGAAGAAGGCCUUAGGGUUGUAAAGUACUUUCAGCGGGGAGGCGUUACCCGCAGAAGAAGCACCGGCUAACUCCGUGCCAGCAGCCGCGGUAAUAC